AGGCUCACCUCGCACACUCGGCAGAAAACAAACCGAUUCGAACGAGCGGGAGUACAGGAGGGGUGACUGCACACGUUGAGGUGCACUGUCCCAACCCCAACAAGUAACGAGCAACGGGCGAAGCUACCGUGCCGCAUACUUCAAGUGAACAGUCGCGUUCUCUUCCUCUCUCUCACACACGCAUCACCGCUAACCCACAAAACGUAGGCGUAGAGUACGCUUCUACGCACCACCAUCCGUUUCCCUAGAUUUCGUCCUCCCUCGCAGUGAGCGACACCGGCAACGACGAAAAGGUCGAGGAGCACACACGCGCCCGAGCACACAAGUGAAGCCGCGUUUUCGUUUUCGCUUUCGUGUUAUUUUUCGUAGAAAGCAACACAACUGGAGCAUAGCGGUGGCGUUGGUGCACCGUUGUCUAUCUCUCCCACCCAUCCACGUAGCCCACACCGACGCACGCUUUCCUUGCUCCGGGCUGCUUUGUUUCACUCGAGCGCUCUGACACACACAGAGGCACAUACACAUACACACAUACACGCACGUGCAUGCAUGCUGUCGCUCUUAUAUAUAUUCCCUUUUCUCUGCAUCGUGCAUGGCUUCACCUCUUGUGUUUUGCCCGUGUGGUUGUCCUUCCCCGACAUCGCCCACGACCGCUGUGCCACAGCGCACUCGCUUUUAUACGUCGUCCUGCUCCACGUCCGUUGCUUUACAGCGCCCUAAGCACCGACACACACGCACAAGGGAGCGCGUGCUGUCCGACCUGGAGAGGGCGGUCACACAGUCGUGAAGCAGGGGCAAGGCCUUUAACGUGGAGGCCAUCAUGAGCUCUCCGCUUCUUCAAAGCGGACCGCUGCAGCAGCCUCCGCCGCCGUCCCCGUCGGGAUCGCGCAGUCGGCAUGAAGAGGUGGAGGAGCACCACCACCAACCGAUGCAGCGCUCUUUCGGGGCAGUGCCUCUGCCUGAGCCCUUUUCCUUCACGGGGUCCACCGAAUCCACCGUCGCCGACAUCAAGCACAGCAGCAGUGACGACGGCCGUCAUGACGGGAAGUGGCGACUUGGCUACGGGGAAGACAGCACGAAGCCGUCCUCCGUCCUCUUCGACUGCCAAGAUUACGACGGGGCUCAGAAAGAGGAUGUUGAUGGCAUGUCUAUGGUAUAUGUGCAGAGGGAGGCUGAUUACAGUCUUGGGCCCGCCCCGCGCCCGGCUGAGACGCGAACUGAGCACUGGCCGCAGUGCAAGAGAGGCGAAACAGAGGAGGGGCAGGAGAAGGCUUGGGGCGUGAUAUCAGUGAGGCCGUGCACCUCAUCUGAGCCGCGUCGCGGCGCAGGAAUUGGCAGUUACAGUUGCACUUCGUCGAACGCCGAGGCUAUCGCGGACUGCAGCAGCAGCGGUGGCUCGCCGAUUCCAAGUAGUGACGGCGGCAGGGCCGCUCUUGGCCUUAGGGAACUCAUUAGCACAGAGGGUCAUCCAGUAGUCUCUGAGGAAGAAGACGAGGGGGACAGGUACUGUGGCACUACUCACAGCAGCAGCCACGGGCACAACGACCACCGUAACGGCACUGCUGCAAGCCAGCGCUUCGAGCACGCUGCCCAGCACGAUCUCCUACUACGCACAAGCCGCAAGCUCGUGUACUCCAACUCUGCCACGAUGCUUUCACCGACAGUGGUCGACGACGACGAAGGGUCAGACACAGCAGCGACACCGGCUGCAGCGCACACAAAAUCUGACGGGGUGCACGAUAACCAGGAUGGCGUGGCUGCAGCACCGACAGUGAAGAGGUUGGAAGAUGUGGCUGUAUCUCAUGGCAUGCUUUCACCCCUCUGUCUCGCCGCAUCCGAUGUGAAUGGUGCGUCGCCUUCGGUGCACUGGGCCUCUUCGGCGUUGCCAUGUCACAAUGCUCUUCAGGCGCCAUCAGCUGAGGAGGCUUCCACCUCGCCCUCUUCCUCGUCUGCCGCGCACGCGAAAGCGGUGCCUCUUAGUGGUCCCAUCGCACAGGGGUUCGAUGAGACGGUGGAUUUGCAGGAUGCUCACCGCCGCCCGCCGCCGUCCGCCUCCGCUCCGUCUAAGGUAGAGCGCGUCGAUGCUGAGAUAGAGAGCGCCAUGCUGGAGAUGGAGAAGCGACUGCAACGACACGGUCACCAUGCCGGCGCCGCUACAACGGGUGCCAACAGCGAUGGCUGUGUAGCUAGCCACCGCAGCACGCCGUCUUUGCGCAGGAGUGAAGGUGAAAAUCCAAAGAGGGCUGGGAGUGAUCGCAUCGAGAGCCAACGUGCGCGUUCCUCCUCCUCCUUUUCCGCCACCCACGACGCAACCGCUGACGCAGCAGACGCGGCCUCGGUGAAGAGCGCGCACGAGGAAGACUGGCUCGCACGCCGGCGGUGCAAACAGGCGGGCGUGUGCGAUGCAGAGAGCUUUGACGCACGCCGCGGCGGAUGCGCGCUCGGCGGAGGGGCUCCUGCACGGGCUUCGGCGGCGUACACGUUCUUCUCCAGUCAGCUGCGGGCGCCGGAAGACAGACGCGGGCGCAUUUACGAGCUUGCGAAGGCCUUGCGCGGGGAUGGCUCCCAUGCGGUCUUCCGUGGCCCCGGUGGGGGUCUCCUAGCGUCGCCGCCUGCCGACGAGCAGUCGCGCGACAGCGUGGAAGGGGCGGCCGCGCUCCGCAUCCCAUGCGCCGCUGGAAGCACGUCGGUGUCUCUUGGUGACGCUGUGGCCGGCUCCGCCGAUAUGGCCAUGUUCUCGUCGCAGAGAACGCCAGCACCUCCUGUGCAAGGAGAGGGAUUUGCACCGCACCAUCGAGAGCUCACGGCGGCGGGCUUGCAGGUGUACUACAGCCGCUGCAGCCUCAGCAGCGGGGAAAAAGAGUCGCGGCGUUGCCCUCGCCUUUCAGGUCCAACUCUUCUAGGCUCUUCGGUUGUAGAGGGAGUGCCGAGUGCCGCGACGGCUGAAGGGGUCUCGACAGCGGUGGCAGCAGCUGCGGCACUCGCAUUCGACUCCUCCAGGACCUCGUCGUGCACGCCGUUCACCUCGCACCGCCAGAGGCCGCCGCCGCGGAUGCUGUGCCCGCCUACCCCGUCGCCCUCGCCGUCGCCUUCUCGCUCUACUGUCAUGGAUGCCGUGCUCGCCGCAGUAGCGAAUGCUGAAGAGGGAAAAGAGUCGGAUGCAAGCGUGAUGGAGCAGAGCUUUUUCUCGGAAAUGGUGCCCGGCGCUGAGCCGCAGCUGCAGCCGCAGGCAAGCAACGCCAACGCGCUGCCGGGACAGUCGUCGUUGGAGGCCUGCACUGUCAGCCUUGGCUUGGAGGCGGCGAAUACAAUGCCCCUCGAGCCGACCACCGCUGCCGCGAACUCGGCGACUUCAUCGCCGUGGCAAACGCGCUUGUGGUCUUCCUUGCCUUCACCAACCGUACCCGCGGGCACGGCCGUACCAGCUGCGGCGUUUGUUGUGGCCACCACUGCGGUUGCAGACGUAGAUAGCGAUGCUGGCGUGAGCGUCAUCGGUUCCUCUUCCUCUUGUCGUAAGAGGGCGGUAGAGGGCAAUGACGGCGCGGACACGGGGCUGCAAGGAGAGUCGGCCAACAGGGAGGGUGCGCUAACUGAGCCGCGCCCCGCAGCGGACACCUCCGUCUCCGUGGGUGACGCGGGCGGGCCCCUUCCGCUGUCGCCGCGCUGCGCAAGCAGCGAGCCAUCGAAGCCGCGACUCCAUGGUGGCCACACCUUUGCUUCCUCGGCCUACCGCGCAGACAGCGCUCCGCAGCACGCCGGUGCCGUCACAGCGAAUAGUGCCAGCUGUCUUGGGUGUGAGCAGGCGACCUCCUGUGCCGCUUCUCACCGUAGCAUAUCUCCUCCGAGCGCUGCAGUCACUGCCGCGGUGCCACUGAUGCAGCAUGACGGUGCUGUGGAGGACUCGCCCAUUCUCCCCAUCUGCGCCACAUCUUUUCCCCACGGCGGGCAGAGCACAGGUAGGAUGUCGCUACCGUCGUCGCGACGCGAUGGCUGCUGCGGCGCCCUUUCAUCGUGGAGCACCAGUAGCGCGGCUUGCGAAGGCACGGGGGCAGACAAUACGGUAGACGUCGCGAAUGACGCGACCGAUGACGUGGUGCAAGGGCAUGCCCUCACGAUACGGCCGUCCGCCAAUACUCGGAAAUCGCCGUCGACGGCGGUGGCGGAAGGGGAGAAGCAUCCGCAGGUGCCUAUGAAGCUCUUGCCGUCCUCGGCUGAGUCACCAUCACCGAUACGCCCGUCGACCGGCUGCGCAAGUGACAAGGAGCGACUGCACCACGAGCUACCGAUGCUCCACUUGUGCCCCGGUGGCGGUGGUGAAGUGGGUGGCGGCCAGCAAGAUGACGCGGACAGCAACGACGAAUACGAUGAGGCGCACCUCUGUUGUGAGGAUUGGGCCUCUUCUCCCGCGGAGCCCGCUGCAGCUGCUGCCACCUGCCAAACUCGGCCAAGUGAUACUCUGGGCGGCCUGCAUGUUGACGGCAAUGACGAUAACAAUGACGGCGACGACGGCGGAGAGGACACGGCAGGGCAGACGUGGGCCGAGGAGGCUCUGCGUCGUGCGGAAGCGGAGUGUGCCGUGCUGCGUCUCGAGCUAACGUUUGCUACGGAGCGCGCGGUUGCGGCGGAGGCGAACGCACAGGUUCGGGAGCGGGAGUGCGCAGAGCUGCACGCACUGGUGAGCCGCAUGCAGGCGCAGUUGGCAGCGGCGCAGACACGUGCGGAUGCGGAGGUCCAGGUGGCUGCCUGCACCGCUUCUUUGGACGACAUUGCCGCCUCAGCUUUCUCGUCGCCAAACUCACCGAAUCUACUGGGCACGACGCCUUUAAGCAUGCGGAAGGGCACAGCGCUUGUAGAGGGUACGGUCUGGCGACGCCGCCACGACAUUGUGGCGCAGGAGCUGGCUACCCUCAAGGUUAGCAUGGCGGAACAACUUGCGGUGCUAGAUCGGCUAGGCAUGCAGCCUCCUUUUUCGGAGGAGCUGGUGUGUGCAGCGGAGCGGCGGCUGCGGCACGUUAAAGUCGCUCACGUGCCUGACACUGCCAUGAAGGCCAGCCAGCCAGACGCAACGAUCUCGGAAACUCCACACACCCUAACCCGCUCAACGUGCGUCGACAGCGCCGCCUCAGUUGACUUAUCGGCCGGCGGUGCCUCCGUCACCGCGACAGCGAAGAAGAUUCAGGUUCGGAACGGCAACAAGAUUGCGGCUCUUCUGAGCCAGCGCAAGCAGAACCGUCACCGGGAGAAACCAGCAGCAGCAGCAGAUGCGAUGGCUACCGGAGCGACUGACUCAGCCACCACGCCAUCGACGUCGGCGCCACCGGCAAAACGCGACGGCAGCCAAGACCGCAGAUCUACGCUGGAUGCCAAAGAAAACCACUACGUCGUGUAAGGUUUAACGAAGGAGAAGGCUCUUCCCUCUUCACGCGACGCUGCACCCGCUCUCGUGUGCUCUCUCCUGCGCUUUCCCACUGCCUGGCAGGUGCGUUUCCCCUGCGUUUUUCGUUUUCGUGUUAGACCUCUUUCACAAUGGAAGAAGCCAAGCAUGCGCUCGCACACGGACACAGACAUGCACGCACGUGCGCGCGCACUGCUGUCGGCGGCAGGCGCGUUCUCUCCCACUCUCCCCUUUAGAUACUGAGCUGGAUUAAUUUCUGCUUCUUGUUUGUUUAUCAUUGUUAGGGCGAUAUCGUUGUCGUGAAUGCGUGCGUGCGCGAUGGUGUUUGAUGAACAGCGAACGCUCUUUUCUGCACUUCCACGCCCCACUCACCCCUUUUUUUGUGUGGGCGUCGCUUCAGUGUGUGGUCUCUUCCAUGACAGGUGUGGGGCAGCACCCUCGUGAGUGCGUGUGCCGUCUCAGCCAGUCGGGCUCCAUCAGUGCCCCUGUUCUCCUCCCCUCUCUCGUUGCCAGUGCUUGCCAGUUUCUUCCCUGGCUUCCCUGUACAUUAGACGUACUGUGUAUUCUCUCAAUGUCGACGCUCGCAAUCAGUGUCGUCGUCCCCCACCCCAACCCCCUCACCUUAAUCCGUCAUGGAUUGACUUUGAGUUCCAGUGGUGUGCCUGCCCCCCCCCCUCCCCCCUAGUGGGGUGCUGAUUGCAUUCGGGAAGACUUGCACAUGAUGAGCGAAAAG
rnacentral:misc_RNA from 1 species